AAUGCUUCUUCUUGUGCUUGCUUUGGCAACUUAAACUGGAACGAUACAGAGAAGAUUAGCAUGGACCCUGCGCAAGUAUGAGACACAAAUUCAUGAAGCAUUCCAUUUUUUG